rnacentral:rRNA from 1 species
AGUAACGCGUGGGUAACCUGCCUCAUACAGGGGGAUAACAGUUGGAAACGACUGCUAAUACCGCAUAAGCGCACAGGACCGCAUGAUCCGGUGUGAAAAACUCCGGUGGUAUGAGAUGGAUCCGCGUCUGAUUAGCCAGUUGGCAGGGUAACGGCCUACCAAAGCGACGAUCAGUAGCCGACCUGAGAGGGUGACCGGCCACAUUGGGACUGAGACACGGCCCAA